CCAGACUCCUACGGGAGGCAGCAGUGGGGAAUAUUGCACAAUGGGGGAAACCCUGAUGCAGCAACGCCGCGUGAGUGAAGAAGUCAUUCGUGAUGUAAAGCUCUAUCAGCAGGGAAGAAAAUGACGGUACCUGAGUAAGAAGCCCCGGCUAACUACGUGCCAGCAGCCGCGGUAAUACGUAGGGGGCAAGCGUUAUCCGGAUUUACUGGGUGUAAAGGGGGCGCAGACGGCAAUGCAAGCCAGGAGUGAAAGCGCGGGGCCCAACCCCGGGACUGCUCUUGGAACUGCAUGGCUGGAGUACAGGAGGGGCAGGCGGAAUUCCUAGUGUAGCGGUGAAAUGCGUAGAUAUCGGGAGGAACACCAGUGGCGAAGGCGGCCUACUGGGCACUAACUGACGCUGAGGCUCGAAAGCAUGGGUAGCAAACAGGAUUAGAUACCC
rnacentral:rRNA from 1 species